rnacentral:rRNA from 1 species
AUCCAGACUCCUACGGGAGGCAGCAGUGGGGAAUAUUGGGCAAUGGGCGCAAGCCUGACCCGGCAACGCCGCGUGAAGGAAGAAGGCUUUCGGGUUGUAAACUUCUUUUGACAGGGAAGAGUAGAAGACGGUACCUGUCGAAUAAGCCACGGCUAACUACGUGCCAGCAGCCGCGGUAAUACGUAGGGGGCAAGCGUUAUCCGGAUUCACUGGGUGUAAAGGGAGCGUAGACGGCCAUGCAAGCCUGGAGUGAAAGCCCGGGGCCCAACCCCGGGACUGCUCUGGGAACUGUGCGGCUGGAGUGCGGGAGGGGCAGGCGGAAUUCCUGGUGUAGCGGUGAAAUGCGUAGAUAUCAGGAGGAACACCGGCGGCGAAGGCGGCCUGCUGGACCGCGACUGACGUUGAGGCUCGAAAGCGUGGGGAGCAAACAGGAUUAGAUACCCCAGUA